GGCAGUUCUCCUAAAUGCUUCAAAGUUCAAGCUACAUGGAUUCACAGCCAACGGAGAUCCUCACAGUAGAGGAACUCCAGCAGCUCAACGACGGCCGUGAUACCAGACGGCAUGAGAGGGCACAGUGGGUGCUGAAUUCUCCUGAUCCACCAGGUGUAUUCCACGAUCUCAUUGGUUCUGUAAGGGAAGUUGUCCUACCCCAUGGACACACAACUGCGAAGCAAACUACAAGCGGACGUGCCAUAUCAUUCUUGCAAGGCCUAUUUCCUAUCUUUAGCUGGGGUAGGAAUUACAGAGUUUCUAAGUUUAAAAACGAUCUAAUGGCAGGUUUAACACUUGCAAGCCUAAGCAUUCCUCAGAGUAUUGGAUAUGCUAAUUUAGCAAAACUUGAUCCUCAAUAUGGCCUAUGUAAGUUGCUGAAUUCUAUUCUAUCACGAUAUGCUUAUAGAAAUCUAGAGUAUUAAUAUUAUCCCAUAAUGUUGGAUUUCUUGGACUUAGACACCAGUGUUAUUCCCCCUCUGAUUUAUGCUCUAAUGGGGAGUUCAAGAGAAAUUGCCAUUGGACCUGUAGCUGUGGUAUCUAUGUUGCUCUCCUCCAUGAUUCAGAAAAUAGAAGAUCCUGCAACUGACCCUGCUGCAUAUAGAAAGAUUGUUUUUACUGUUACCUUCUUUGCUGGAAUCUUCCAAGCUGUAUUUGGAUUGUUUAGGUUGGGAUUUCUUGUGGACUUUCUUUCACAUGCUGCCAUUGUUGGAUUUAUGGGGGGUGCAGCCAUAGUUAUUGGUCUUCAGCAACUAAAAGGUCUACUUGGGAUCAGUCAUUUCACCACUAAAACUGAUGUAGUCUCUGUCCUGGAGUCUGUUUUCACAUCAAUAGACCUUCCGUGGUGCCCUCUCAAUUUCGUCCUGGGAUGUUCAUUCCUUAUCUUCCUUCUAAUUGCCAGGUUUAUUGGCAGGAGAAACAAGAAGCUCUUCUGGUUUCCAGCCAUUGCUCCUCUUAUAUCCGUAAUAUUAUCCACUUUGAUAGUGUUCUUGACAAAAGCUGAUAAGCAUGGAGUCAAGAUUGUAAAACACAUCAAAGGAGGCUUGAAUCCAAGUUCAGUCCAUGAAUUACAAUUCAAAGGACCACAUGUUGGACAAGCAGCCAAAUUUGGCCUCAUUUCUGCCAUUGUUGCUCUUACCGAAGCCAUUGCCGUUGGCCGGUCUUUUGCUUCCAUAAAAGGCUAUCACCUGGAUGGGAACAAAGAGAUGGUAGCUAUGGGAUUCAUGAACAUUGCAGGAUCUAUGACUUCCUGCUAUGUAGCAACUGGUUCAUUUUCAAGGACUGCUGUGAAUUUCAGUGCAGGAUGCGAAAGUGUAAUAUCCAAUAUAGUAAUGGCUAUUACAGUAUUUUUGUCACUGGAACUGUUCACUAGGCUCUUGUACUACACUCCCAUUGCCAUCCUUGCUUCAAUCAUUCUAUCAGCUCUUCCUGGACUCAUUAACAUCCAUGAAGCUUACUACAUCUGGAAGGUCGAUAAGCUAGAUUUCCUCGCCUGCAUUGGUGCUUUCUUUGGUGUCUUGUUUGCUUCAGUGGAAAUCGGUCUUCUUGUUGCGGUAACUAUCUCUUUUGCCAAGAUAUUGCUAAACGCCAUUCGACCGGGAAUAGAAGAACUUGGAAGGCUUCCAAGAACAGACACCUAUUGUGACAUCAAUCAAUAUCCCAUGGCCAUCAAAACUCCAGGCAUUUUAAUAGUCCGUGUCAACUCUGCCCCACUUUGCUUUGCUAAUGCCAAUUUUAUAAGAGAAAGGAUAACGAGAUGGGUGAUAGAGGAAGAGGAUAAAUCUAAAGAAAGCACAAAGGGAAGGAUUCAAGUAGUAAUUCUUGAUUUGUCCAAUGUGACAAACGUGGACACUGCGGGAAUUCUUGCACUAGAAGAGCUGCACAAGAAGUUGCUAUCACAUGAAACAGAGUUAGCUAUAGCCAACCCAAGAUGGCAAGUGAUUCACAAGCUAAAGUUGGCCAAAUUCGCAGAUAGAAUAGGAAGAGGAAGGAUUUUCAUCACAGUUGGUGAAGCCGUAGCUGCAAGCAUUAGUACUAAAUUAACUAGUCUCAACAACUGUUGACGGAUUUGGGUGGGCUUCGUUAGUAAAAUUUUGGUAAAAGCCUAUUUCACCUCAUGGUUUUGAAGAAUGGUGAGCACACGUUUGUAGCUGUUUGAUGGCUCAGAAAAGCAACACAUUGGCUAUAUAUAUAUUAACAUUCCAAAAUCAAACAAAAUGAGUUAAUCCAUAUGAUACAAAUAACUGUAAAAAAGAAUUAUUGGGAUGAUUUUGAUCCAUACCUAUACAUAACAUGGAACAUCCAGAGCAAAAAAAUAAAACCAGCUUAGGUAGAGAACAUCAGCUUAAAUGUGUGUGAACUUAUAAGAGUUAGUGUGCCUUGUUAAAAUUAUUUGCAACUUUAUUUCCCACAUGUAAGUGAGGGCCACUGAAUGGAAUUUCCAUCGCAAGAAGAAAAUUGAAAAAAAGAGGGCUGUAAAAUGAAAGAAGAACAGGCAUCAAAAGAAAUUGUGUUUCA
rnacentral:misc_RNA from 1 species